CAAAAUGGCUAUUGGAAUUUCUGCAUUCCAGAUUUUUUGGGGGUGAGAUAGGAGAUGCAAUGCCAAGAGCAUUCAAUGUGCUGCACUCCGAGCCGCCAGCCCCCGCGCAGGGCUCACUGUGAUGCACUCACACAAAUGAAAGCCACAGCAACAGGUGUAGCUUUGCUCGUUUCAACCUGUCCUAAAAUAGCCCGUUCUGUUUUCUGCUGUUUGCUGGCAGGUGGGUGGUGCAGCUCAGCGAUGUGCUGCAAACGCUGUUAGGGCUGAAGGGAGCCCUGCCACCAUCUGUGAUGUGGAUCAGACCACCCUGCCACACUUGUGUCUUGGGCCUAGCUCCUGUCCUUCACUGCGGGGCAGGAGGUUCAUUACACGGCGCAGUGUUUGCAGACUCUCCUGCUGAAGCAGAGGGUUUGAACCUGUAAUUGGUGCUGGCCCUACACAGGCAUGGGGCACAAUGUAGGGAGUGCUAUAUGGUGUUGGAAAUGGGAGGGCAAGGGGCUCACUGCCUUUGCUGUAGAUGGUGGCUGGGAUGUCCUGUUCAGAGCAUCAUCCCCACCUGCACAUCCCUGCAGCAUCAGCAGCGCCAGUAAUGCCUUCCUGGCACUUCUCCAUGGAUCCGAUUAUGGUGUCCCUUCUGCGUGAUGGGUUGUGCUCUGCAGAAGCAGCAUGAGGAAGGAAAGUGUGAUUGGUGAGAUGGGGCCACGGCUGCACUUUAAAAGCUCUGAUAGCAAUCACCGUGAGCAGAUGAGGAAGCAUUGCAGCAAGCUGCACACUGAGCUUGGACCAUGCAGCCUCUCCAGUGUGCCCACCUGCUCCUCCUGAUUGCCCUGCUCGCCCUCUGCUUGCCCUUAGGCCAGGCGGAGGACAACAGCACCAUGACAGAGGGGAUCGUAGCCCGGAGCCCGCCCUGCGGCAGCCCUGCUCUCCUGUCCCUGGCCCUGGGGCUGGCUGCGGCCUUCCUCCUGCGGCUCUGCUGAGCCGAAGGUCCCCGCAGUCCAGCGCUUCCCCGCUCCGCCGCCGGGCCCGGCCAGCUCCCGUCCCCGUGUCCCCACAGUGCUUCCCUAUGGCCGCAGCCUCCAGGAGGAUCAGCUCCAAGCACGGUCGUGCUGCGAAGCUCUGAGAAAUAAAGUACGGAGGCUCCGA